GAUGAACGCUGGCGGCGUGCCUAAUACAUGCCAGUCGAGCGAACGGACGAGAAGCUUGCUUCUCUGAUGUUAGCGGCGGACGGGUGAGUAACACGUGGAUAACCUACCUAUAAGACUGGGAUAACUUCGGGAAACCGGAGCUAAUACCGGAUAAUAUUUUGAACCGCAUGGUUCAAAAGUGAAAGACGGUCUUGCUGUCACUUAUAGAUGGAUCCGCGCUGCAUUAGCUAGUUGGUAAGGUAACGGCUUACCAAGGCAACGAUGCAUAGCCGACCUGAGAGGGUGAUCGGCCACACUGGAACUGAGACACGGUCCAGACUCCUACGGGAGGCAGCAGUAGGGAAUCUUCCGCAAUGGGCGAAAGCCUGACGGAGCAACGCCGCGUGAGUGAUGAAGGUCUUCGGAUCGUAAAACUCUAUUAUUAGGGAAGAACAUAUGUGUAAGUAACUGUGCACAUCUUGACGGUACCUAAUCAGAAAGCCACGGCUAACUACGUG
rnacentral:rRNA from 1 species